rnacentral:rRNA from 1 species
UACGUAGGGCGCGAGCGUUGUCCGGAUUUAUUGGGCGUAAAGAGCUCGUAGGCGGCUUGUUGCGUCGUCCGUGAAAACCCGUGGCUUAACUGCGGGCUUGCGGUCGAUACGGGCGGGCUGGAGUUCGGUAGGGGAGACUGGAAUUCCUGGUGUAGCGGUGAAAUGCGCAGAUAUCAGGAGGAACACCGGUGGCGAAGGCGGGUCUCUGGGCCGAUACUGACGCUGAGGAGCGAAAGCGUGGGGAGCGAACAGG